UACGUAGGGGGCUAGCGUUGUCCGGAAUCAUUGGGCGUAAAGCGCGCGUAGGCGGCCCGGUAAGUCCGCUCUGAAAGUCCAGGGCUCAACCCUGGAAUGCGGGUGGAUACUGCCGGGCUAGAGUCCGGAAGAGGCGAGUGGAAUUCCUGGUGUAGCAGUGAAAUGCGUAGAGAUCAUGAGGAAGACCAGUGGCGAAGGCGGGUCUCUGGACAGUUCCUGACACUGAGGCACGAAGGCCAGGGGAGCAAACGGG
rnacentral:rRNA from 1 species